rnacentral:rRNA from 1 species
GACGAACGCUGGCGGCGUGCUUAACACAUGCAAGUCGAACGGAAAGGCCCUGCUUUUGUGGGGUGCUCGAGUGGCGAACGGGUGAGUAACACGUGAGUAACCUGCCCUUGACUUUGGGAUAACUUCAGGAAACUGGGGCUAAUACCGGAUAGGAGCUCCUGCUCCAUGGUGGGGGUUGGAAAGUUUCGGCGGUUGGGGAUGGACUCGCGGCUUAUCAGCUUGUUGGUGGGGUAGUGGCUUACCAAGGCUUUGACGGGUAGCCGGCCUGAGAGGGUGACCGGCCUCAUUGGGACUGAGAUACGGCGCAGACUGCUACGGGAGGCAGCAGUGGGGAAUAUUGCACAAUGGGCGGAAGCCUGAUGCAGCAACGCCGCGUGCGGGAUGACGGCCUUCGGGUUGUAAACCGCUUUCGCCUGUGACGAAGCGUGAGUGACGGUAAUGGGUAAAGAAGCACCGGCUAACUACGUG